rnacentral:rRNA from 1 species
AACGAACGCUGGCGGCAGGCUUAACACAUGCAAGUCGAACGCCCCGCCAGGGGAGUGGCAGACGGGUGAGUAACGCGUGGGAAUCUACCCUGAACUGCGGGAUAGCUCCGGGAAACUGGAAUUAAUACCGCAUGUGCCCUGAGGGGCAAAGAUUUAUCGGUUCAGGAUGAGCCCGCGUCCGAUUAGCUAGUUGGUGGGGUAAAGGCCUACCAAGGCGACGAUCGGUAGCUGGUCUAAGAGGAUGAUCAGCCACAUUGGGACUGAGACACGGCCCAAACUCCUACGGGAGGCAGCAGUGGGGAAUAUUGGACAAUGGGCGCAAGCCUGAUCCAGCCAUGCCGCGUGAGUGAUGAAGGCCCUAGGGUUGUAAAGCUCUUUCACCGGGGACGAUAAUGACGGUACCCGGAGAAGAAGCCCCGGCUAACUUCGUG